GAAGGAGAAUAUUAUAAUGAAGAGCAUUCUAUUUAUAUGCAUAAGCUUUCGUUGUUUCAUUUUCCCUCUCCAAAUGUUAAUGGAAGGUAAGUAAAGGAACUAGGGUUUAUUCUGUUAAUUUUUAUUUAUUUAUAGCCUACAGAGCUCUGGAAAGAAUUUAGAGCAGCUUAAAAGCAUAGAUAAAAUACAGCAAAGUUACAUAUGUUGGAAGAGGAUGAAUAAAGAACAAAGAGCAAAGUCGGAGACAGAAGAUGGAUUUUCUGAGAAGAAUAACUGUUCCUGAUGCUAUAUGACAAGAAAGAACGUUCUCCAGAGGACCUUUAUCCCGAGAACACUGUACAAUGUAAUGAGCAGCCCUCCACAAAUUCUGUACUGUGGAUCCUUCAGUGAGAUUCACACAUCUGUUUCGGUAGCAUUCCUAGAUCCAGUGGCCUCAUGCUGAGCUCGCCGUGAUUCCACAAGGUAUUCAUCCUUUACUUUCCACUCCCUGUAAUUCAAGCAGAUCCUUGGUUCCGAGCUUACUGCUAAGGGGAGAAAAUGAGAGGCUAAAGACACUGCUGCUGACUAUGGAAGAAAAUGGAGCGGGUCAAGGAAACAUUGAUCAGACCCUCCUAGAACAGGUGAAAGUAGACUAUGUGAGGGCACGAACCAUAUCUGUCUUCCUCAUCAUGUUAUCCCC